UACGUAGGGUGCUAGCGUUGUUCGGAAUCAUUGGGCGUAAAGCGCGUGUAGGUGGUUAGUUAAGUCGGGUGUGAAAUCCCUGGGCUCAACCGAGGAAGUGCAUCCGAAACUAACUAGCUGGAAGAUGGUAGAGGAAGGUGGAAUUCCUAGUGUAGAGGUGAAAUUCGUAGAUAUUAGGAGGAAUACCGGUGGCGAAGGCGGCCUUCUGGGCCAUUCUUGACACUGAGACGCGAAAGCGUGGGUAGCAAACAGG
rnacentral:rRNA from 1 species